rnacentral:rRNA from 1 species
GACGAACGCUGGCGGCGUGCUUAACACAUGCAAGUCGAACGGAAAGGCCCUGCUUUUGUGGGGUGCUCGAGUGGCGAACGGGUGAGUAACACGUGAGUAACCUGCCCUUGACUUUGGGAUAACUUCAGGAAACUGGGGCUAAUACCGGCUAGGAGCUCCUGCUGCAUGGUGGGGGUGGGAAAGUUUCGGCGGUUGGGGAUGGACUGGCGGCUUAUCAGAUUGUUGGAGGGGUAGUGGCUGAGCAAGGCUUUGAACGGUAGCCGGGCUGAGAGGGUGACCGGCCAAACUAGGCUGGGGAUGAGGCACAGCCUACUACGGGAGGCAGGGGAGGAGAAUAUUGUACAAGGGGAGGAACGCUGGUGCAGCCAAGCAGCGUGGGGGAUGAGGUGCUGCGGGUAGUAUUCUGCUUCCGCCUGAGACGAAGUGUGAGUGACGGUACUGGGUGAAGAAGCACCGGCUAACUACGUG